UGCAGUGCGCGUGCUAUAAUGCAGUCGAGCGGACAGAUGGGAGCUUGCUCCCUGAUGUUAGCGGCGGACGGGUGAGUAACACGUGGGUAACCUGCCUGUAAGACUGGGAUAACUCCGGGAAACCGGGGCUAAUACCGGAUGCUUGUUUGAACCGCAUGGUUCAAACAUAAAAGGUGGCUUCGGCUACCACUUACAGAUGGACCCGCGGCGCAUUAGCUAGUUGGUGAGGUAAUGGCUCACCAAGGCGACGAUGCGUAGCCGACCUGAGAGGGUGAUCGGCCACACUGGGACUGAGACACGGCCCAGACUCCUACGGGAGGCAGCAGUAGGGAAUCUUCCGCAAUGGACGAAAGUCUGACGGAGCAACGCCGCGUGAGUGAUGAAGGUUUUCGGAUCGUAAAGCUCUGUUGUUAGGGAAGAACAAGUACCGUUCGAAUAGGGCGGUACCUUGACGGUACCUAACCAGAAAGCCACGGCUAACUACGUGCCAGCAGUCGCGGUUAAUACGUAGGUGGAAGCGUCGUCCGGAAUUAUUGGGGCGUAAAGGGGUUCGCAGGCGGUUUCUUAUUUUGAUGUGAAUCCUCCCGGCUCAACCGGGGAAGGGUCAUUGGUAAUCUUGUGGUUACUUUUA
rnacentral:rRNA from 1 species